GUAAGGGAUAUUGCGACAAUGGGCGAGAGCCUGACGCAGCAACGCCGCGUGCGGGAGGAAGGCCUUCGGGUUGUAAACCGCUUUUGAGGGGGAAGAGGAAGGACGGUACCCUUCGAAUAAGUCUCGGCUAACUACGUGCCAGCAGCCGCGGUAAAACGUAGGAGGCGAGCGUUAUCCGGAUUUACUGGGUGUAAAGCGCGUGCAGGCGGUGGGACAAGUUAACUGUGAAAGCGCCCGGCUCAACCGGGCGAGGACAGUUAAGACUGUUUUGCUGGAGGCAGGUAGAGGUGUGUGGAAUUCCGGGUGUAGUGGUGAAAUGCGUAGAGAUCCGGAGGAACACCAGUGGCGAAGGCGACACACUGGGCCUGGCCUGACGCUCAGACGCGAAAGCAUGGGGAGCGAACGGGAUUAGAAACCCUAGUAGUCC
rnacentral:rRNA from 1 species